rnacentral:rRNA from 1 species
AUACGUAGGUGGCAAGCGUUGUCCGGAAUCAUUGGGCGUAAAGCGCGCGCAGGCGGGAAUGUAAGUCUUACUUAAAAGUGCGGGGCUCAACCCCGUGAUGGGUAGGAAACUACAUUUCUUGAGUACCGGAGAGGAAAGUGGAAUUCCCAGUGUAGCGGUGAAAUGCGUAGAUAUUGGGAGGAACACCGGUGGCGAAGGGGACUUUCUGGACGGUGUCUGACGCUGAGGCGCGAAAGCCAGGGUAGUGAACGGGAUUAGAUACCCCGGUAAUCCUGGCCGUAACCGAUGGGUACUAGGUGUAGAGGGUAUCGACCCCUUCUGUGCCGGAGUUAACGCAAUAAGUACCCCGCCUGGGGAGUACGGCCGCAAGGUUGA